rnacentral:rRNA from 1 species
GUGAAACUGCGAAUGGCUCAUUAAAUCAGUUAUAGUUUAUUUGAUAAUACCUUACUACUUGGAUAUCCGUGGUAAUUCUAGAGCUAAUACAUGCAAUCAAACCCCGACUUCUGGAAGGGGUGUAUUUAUUAGAUACAAAAACCAUCUGGUGAUUCAUAGUAACUUUUCGAAUCGCACGACCUUGCGUCGGCGAUGGUUCAUUCAAAUUUCUGCCCUAUCACCUUUCGAUGGUAGGAUAGAGGCCUACCAUGGGUUUAACGGGUAACGGCGAAUUAGGGUUCGAUUCCGGAGAGGGAGCCUGAGAAACGGCUACCACAUCUAAGGAAGGCAGCAGGCGCGCAAAUUACCCAAUCCUGAUUCAGGGAGGUAGUGACAAUAAAUAACAAUCCAGGGCUUCUGUCUUGGAAUUGGAAUGAGAACAAUUUAAAUCCCUUAACGAGGAACAAUUGGAGGGCAAGUCUGGUGCCAGCAGCCGCGGUAAUUCCAGCUCCAAUAGCGUAUAUUAAAGUUGUUGCAGUUAAAUAGCUCGUAGUUGAAUCUUCCUUUACUUUGAAAAAAUUAGAGUGUUCAAAGCAGGCAUUUUUUGCUCGAAUACAUUAGCAUGGAAUAAUAGAAUAGGACUUUGGUUUUAUUUUGUUGGUUUCUAGGACCGAAGUAAUGAUUAAUAGGGAUGGUUGGGGGCAUUAGUAUUUAAUUGUCAGAGGUGAAAUUCUUGGAUUUAUUAAAGACUCACUGCUGCGAAAGCGUUUGCCAAGGACGUUUUCAUUAAUCAAGAACGAAAGUCAGGGGAUCGAAGAUGAUCAGAUACCGUCGUAGUCCUGACUGUAAACUAUGCCGACUCGGGAUCGGGCGCAAAAGCUCAAAUUUGAAAUCUGGCCGGCUUGUUCCUGUCCGAAUUGUAGUUUCAAGGAACGUUUUCUGGGGGUAUGGGCAGAUGUGUAAGUCCGUUGGAAAACGGCACCAUAGAGGGUGAUAGUCCCGUGUCUGCAUCGCACUUGCCUCCUAUAUGUUACGUUUCCGAAGAGUCGCGUAGUUUGAGAAUGCUGCGCAAAGAGGGUGAUAAAUAUCAUCUAAAGCUAAAUACCGGCGAGAGACCGAUAGCGAACAAGUACCGUGAGGGAAAGUUGCAAAGAACUUUGAAAAGAGAGUUAAAUAGUACGUGAAAUCGUCCAUAGGGAAAUGUUGAAACACCCUCGCGCUGUGCACGGUCAUCAGCCUCUCUUUGGAGGGGUGCAAUGGGCUGAAGAUCGGUUUGGUUGCUUGCGCUAUAGCCACUUGUCCCGACUUUUGCGUGGCCUGGACCGAAGACUUUGCUGUACAUAGGAUCUUCAGAGAACGGUUUUCAGCAACCCGUCUUGAAACACGGACCAAGGAGUCCAACACAUGCGCAAGUCUUUGGGUGUCAAACCCACUGGCACAGUGAAAGCAAUUUUACUCAGUGCGAAAAGCCCAGCAAUGGGAUGCUGCAUUGGCCGGUUCUUGAGGCUUGCCAAAGGAACUGAGCAUGAGCGCAUGUGUUGGGACCCGAAAGAUGGUGAACUAUACCUGAGUAGGGUGAAGUCAGAGGAAACUCUGAUGGAAGCUCGCAGCGGUUCUGACGUGCAAAUCGAUCGUCGAACUUGGGUAUAGGGGCGAAAGACUAAUCGAACCAUCUNGUAGC